rnacentral:lncRNA from 1 species
CUCACAUCCCUGUACAACUCUGAACUGAUUUUGCGCCAGAAAGAAAUGCAUCUUUUCCUGAAAAAGUUCUUGCAGUUCUACUCUUCUUCGUGCAUUGAUGAGUUUCCAAAGGAACUUAUUCAAGGUGUGGAAAAAUCCGUUUCACUAGAGAAAUUCCUGUUUGAAACAUCAGGAAAGGUUCAUCGGGAGAAUUCCCUGCAGUCUGAUAUCUCUGGGAAGCUUUUUUGCAGUCCAUCUUACACAGAAGCCUUCUCAGAGAUGGCAGUACAGGCGGUAAACAAAGAACUCUGCUUUCAGUGGUAUAUUCCUCCCCUGGACAAACCUCCAAAGGAUACAGAACCUAUGGUUUUAUUGUUGUAUGCAUACAACUUGAAGCCCCUGAAGAUUUCCGAUAUUAAAGUGCCUACUGCUAACAACCUGUAUGUCGGCACCUCCUGGAUUCCACUGAACAGAGUCAUCUCAAUUCAUGAGAAACUGUCUAAUCUUGCACAAAUUGCUGAGCUAUCAUUGCCAUCGGUUCCUGAAAUUAUUUUAGAAGAAAAUGUGUAUGAAACAGUAGAACCAGAAGAUAAAAUAGUUGAUACAGACAUAGACAACAUGAUCCUGGAUUGUUGCUCUGAAAUAGUGGCUCUGUUUUCCAAGGACCAAGAUCCCACACCACUGUAUGAGGUUCCCUUUGAUAUCUCCCUCCCUGCUAUAUUCAGCCUUGAGAGACUUUUUGAUCUUGCAAAUGGUUGUAUCGUGUCAGUAGGAAGCCUUUUCAACUGGGUGGUGUCAAUUAUCCCCUGAACAUCCUCUACAGGUUAACUCUAAGGGGGCUUUAAUUGUUACUGAUUUUUGUUUGUUUAUUUGAACUAAAUUUCUAAAGUUUUUAAUCUCGUAAAUACCAAUAUUUUCUGUUAUACUGAACUAGAGUUUGUUUAUUUGACUUGGGAAGAAAGCUUUGACCUUCUGUGUUAUAUGCUUCAGAGGGGCAUGUUAC